UACGAAGGGUGCAAGCGUUACUCGGAAUCACUGGGCGUAAAGCGUGCGUAGGCGGUUCGUUAAGUCUGCUGUGAAAGCCCUGGGCUCAACCUGGGAACUGCAGUGGAUACUGGCGGACUAGAGUGUGAUAGAGGAUGGUGGAAUUCCCGGUGUAGCGGUGAAAUGCGUAGAGAUCGGGAGGAACACCAGUGGCGAAGGCGGCCAUCUGGAUCAACACUGGACGCUGAGGAGCGAAAGCGUGGGGAGCGAACAGG
rnacentral:rRNA from 1 species